CGGAAGCUGCCGGUUCGCUGGCGAUCUACAUCACCAAGGUAUUGACGUUCCGCCGCUUCGACGCGCUGCCGCUCGACGUCAUCCUGAAGGGGCUGAUUGCGGGCUCGUCGCUGUUCGCCGGCGCAUUCAUCGCCAAGCGUUUCGUGAUGCGGCUCGAUCCCGACUCGUUCCGCCUGUUGAUGGACGGCCUGAUGCUGGUCGCCGGUCUGUCGAUGUUCUGGAGUGCGUUUCAGAGCUGAGACAUUGAUUCAGCUCUGAAUCGCAGGCCUUUGGCGCGACUCACGUUGGCAGUGAAUCCUUUGCAUAAAGUUCCGCGAAUUCCGCGCUGGGCGGAAUCGGCUUGAUCACAUCGAUCAACACGUCGUUUGGGUCGGCUGUAAUGAAGUGACGCUGCCCGAAUGCCUCGGUGCGGGGCGGGG
rnacentral:misc_RNA from 1 species